GAGGUAAACACAACACCAGGCGAGGUAGGCACAAGGCAAGAUUUAUUAAAAGCACUCUCCGGUGACGUUUCGGGGCUCAGGAGAAGGGAAGCCAGGAAAGUCGCGCUGGGAGGAGGUCAGCACUCACGGAGCUUUGAAGAUGAGCAUCUGAGAGGAAGUGAAUGCCAGGGCACUGCAGGGGUCAAAGGAUUUUAUUUAUUUAUUGGAGAGAGAGCAGGAGCAGGAGGAGGAGCAGAGGGAGCGGGACAAGAGUGGAGAGUGUGGAGCCCAACACAGGACUCAAUCCCAGGACCUGAGAUAAUGACCUGAGCUGAAAUCAAGAGUUGGUAGCUUAACUGACUGAGCUAUCCAGGUGACCCAUGGCUAUGGGCUCUACUGGUACAUCCAAAGCUUUGGUUUUUGUCUACAUUCAUAAUUGA